rnacentral:rRNA from 1 species
CUGGAGUUUGGCAGAGGGGGGUGGAAUUCCACGUGUAGCAGUGAAAUGCGUAGAGAUGUGGAGGAACACCGAUGGCGAAGGCAGCCCCCUGGGCCGAUACUGACGCUCAUGCACGAAAGCGUGGGUAGCAAACAGGAUUAGAUACCCUGGUAGUCCACGCCCUAAACGAUGUCAACUAGUUGUUGGGAGGGUAAAACCUUUUAGUGCCGUAGCUAAC